rnacentral:rRNA from 2 species
CUAUACAUGCAGUCGAGCGAACUGAUUAGAAGCUUGCUUCUAUGACGUUAGCGGCGGACGGGUGAGUAACACGUGGGCAACCUGCCUGUAAGACUGGGAUAACUUCGGGAAACCGAAGCUAAUACCGGAUAGGAUCUUCUCCUUCAUGGGAGAUGAUUGAAAGAUGGUUUCGGCUAUCACUUACAGAUGGGCCCGCGGUGCAUUAGCUAGUUGGUGAGGUAACGGCUCACCAAGGCAACGAUGCAUAGCCGACCUGAGAGGGUGAUCGGCCACACUGGGACUGAGACACGGCCCAGACUCCUACGGGAGGCAGCAGUAGGGAAUCUUCCGCAAUGGACGAAAGUCUGACGGAGCAACGCCGCGUGAGUGAUGAAGGCUUUCGGGUCGUAAAACUCUGUUGUUAGGGAAGAACAAGUACGAGAGUAACUGCUCGUACCUUGACGGUACCUAACCAGAAAGCCACGGCUAACUACGUGCCAGCAGCCGCGGUAAUACGUAGGUGGCAAGCGUUAUCCGGAAUUAUUGGGCGUAAAGCGCGCGCAGGCGGUUUCUUAAGUCUGAUGUGAAAGCCCACGGCUCAACCGUGGAGGGUCAUUGGAAACUGGGGAACUUGAGUGCAGAAGAGAAAAGCGGAAUUCCACGUGUAGCGGUGAAAUGCGUAGAGAUGUGGAGGAACACCAGUGGCGAAGGCGGCUUUUUGGUCUGUAACUGACGCUGAGG